ensembl:miRNA
UCUUUGGUUAUCUAGCUGUAUGAGUGACGUACAUUCUUCAUAAAGCUAGAUAACCGAAAGUA